rnacentral:piRNA from 1 species
CUGAGUUGUACAAAUUGUGAUUGAGG